rfam:Dipodomys ordii contig_23057, whole genome shotgun sequence.
AGGAAGGUGGCUCAGUGGUAGAGUGCUUGCUUUUCAUGCAUGAGGCCCUGGGUUCGAUUCCUCAGUACUA